rnacentral:misc_RNA from 1 species
GAUGAAGAACGUAGCGAAAUGCGAUAACUAGUGUGAAUUGCGGAAUUCCGUGAAUCAUCGAGUCUUUGAACGCACAUUGCGCCCCCUGGUAUUCCGGGGGGCAUGCCUGUCCGAGCGUCAUUGCUGCCCAUCAAGCACGGCUUGUGUGUUGGGUCGUCGUCCCCUCUCCGGGGGGGACGGGCCCCAAAGGCAGCGGCGGCACCGCGUCCGAUCCUCGAGCGUAUGGGGCUUUGUCACCCGCUCUGUAGGCCCGGCCGGCGCUUGCCGAACGCAAAUCAAUCUUUUCCAGGUUGACCUCGGAUCAGGUAGGGAUACCCGCUGAACUUAAGCAUAUCAAUAAGCGGAGGA